rnacentral:rRNA from 1 species
UACAGAGGUCCCAAGCGUUGUUCGGAUUCACUGGGCGUAAAGGGUGCGUAGGUGGUGGGGUAAGUUUGAUGUGAAAUCUCCGAGCUUAACUCGGAAAUGGCAUUGAAUACUACUCUGCUGGAGGGUCGGAGGGGAGACUGGAAUUUUCGGUGUAGCAGUGAAAUGCGCGGAUAUCGAAAGGAACACCAGUGGCGAAAGCGAGUCUCUGGACGACUCCUGACACUGAGGCACGAAAGCUAGGGGAGCAAACAGG